rnacentral:rRNA from 1 species
UACGGGGGGGGCAAGCGUUGUUCGGAAUUACUGGGCGUAAAGGGCGCGUAGGCGGGCGGUCAAGUCAGGGGUGAAAGCCCCCAGCUCAACUGGGGAAGUGCCUUUGAUACUGGUCGUCUCGAGGGGGAUAGGGGCGUGCGGAACUUCCGGUGGAGCGGUGAAAUGCGUAGAUAUCGGAAGGAACACCGGUGGCGAAAGCGGCGCGCUGGAUCCCUUCUGACGCUGAGGCGCGAAAGCCAGGGGAGCGAACGGG